rnacentral:rRNA from 1 species
GACGACGACGGGUAGCCGGCCUGAGAGGGCGACCGGMCACACUGGGACUGAGACACGGCCCAGACUCCUACGGGAGGCAGCAGUGGGGAAUAUUGCACAAUGGGGGAAACCCUGAUGCAGCGACGCAGCGUGCGGGAUGACGGCCUUCGGGUUGUAAACCGCUUUCAGCAGGGAAGAAGCGCAAGUGACGGUACCUGCAGAAGAAGUACCGGCUAACUACGUGCCAGCAGCCGCGGUAAUACGUAGGGUACSAGCGUUGUCCGGAAUUAUUGGGCGUAAAGAGCUCGUAGGUGGUUGGUCACGUCUGCUGUGGAAACGCAACGCUUAACGUUGCGCGUGCAGUGGGUACGGGCUGACUAGAGUGCAGUAGGGGAGUCUGGAAUUCCUGGUGUAGCGGUGAAAUGCGCASAUAUCAGGAGGAACACCGGYGGCSAAGGCGGGACUCUGGGCUGKAACUGACMCUGAGGAGCGAAAGCAUGGGGAGCGAACAGGAUUAGAUACCCUGGUAGUCCAUGCCGUAAACGUUGGGSACUAGGUGUGGGGGGCAUUCCACGUUCUCCGCGCCGUAGCUAACGCAUUAAGUGCCCCGCCUGGGGAGUACGG